rnacentral:lncRNA from 1 species
AUUUUCUAGGUUUUGAAAAACCAUGAGCCCCUGGCUGUCUGUGAUCUACUUAAAUACUUCUUUGGAGUUCUAUCCCACGGCCCUAGUCUGUUUCUGUUACUAUGGUGAAGACACAAUGGCAGCCUUACUUUGUCAAGAAGAAUGGAUUACUCAGCCCACAGUUUCGGAAGCUAUAUCUUCAGGUGCCUGGACUGGCAGCUUGCUCUCUCUUCUUUUUGAGGAUGCAGAGAUGAAACUGAGUACAGGGUAGGCAAGUGUUCAUCGAUGACCUCUAUCCCCAGCCCUUAACCUUCUCUAGUCUUUUAACAUUUAAAUUCAUAUGCUAAGUUGUUUCUUUCUGGAGAGCCCCAACUGACGUGAAAAUUGUCAUCUUCCUUCCUCAACCUCCCCAAUUACAAGGAUUUCAGGCCUGGCUUCUGGCCUUUCGCUUGGAGCUGAUUAUUCACCAGGAAUUUUCCUGACUAAGAUUCCCCUCUCUGACUUCUAGGCCUAAAGCUGAUGCUCUACGUUAUCAGCUUGUUUGGAGCUGAUUGAUGGCACACCCACCGUAUUUGUGAAAGUGUGGCAAAUUUCAGAUGCCGGCAGUCUCCCCACGGGGUUGGCAAAGCAGUGGCUAGAAGGUGGGCCCAUGAAGUACCAAAGAAGCCUCCAGAUUUUCAAAGUUUUCCUAUUUCCAGCUUCAGGAAUAGGUAGCUUGUUGGCAGUAGAUACCUGUGAGCUUAGGCCUUGAAAAGCAGAUGCAAAAACAAGAGGGUCAAAAGCUUGGGGUCAUCUUGGGUUGCAUGAAAGGAACCCAUCACCAAAAGAAGCAAAUGAAUAAACAAAUGAAUAUAAUUCA